UACAGAGGUCCCGAGCGUUGUUCGGAUUCAUUGGGCGUAAAGGGUGCGUAGGCGGCGGGGAAAGUCUGAUGUGAAAUCCUGGGGCUCAACCCUGGAACUGCAUUGGAUACUUCCUUGCUAGAGUACUGGAGAGGAAACUGGAAUUUACGGUGUAGCAGUGAAAUGCGUAGAGAUCGUAAGGAAGACCAGUGGCGAAGGCGAAGGUUUCUGGACAGUUAUCUGACGCUGAGGCACGAAGGCCAGGGGGAGCAAACGGG
rnacentral:rRNA from 1 species